AACGAACGCUGGCGGCGUGCCUAACACAUGCAAGUCGAGCGCGAAAAGGGCAACCUGAGUAGAGCGGCGCACGGGUGAGUAACACGUGGAUAAUCUGCCUCAAAGCCUGGAAUAACCUUCCGAAAGGUUGGCUAAUGCCGGAUAAGCUCACGGGAACUUCGGCUCUUGUGGGAAAAGGUGGCCCCUGUUUACAAGCUACCACUUUGAGAUGAAUCCGCGGCCCAUCAGGUAGUUGGCGGGGUAAUGGCCCACCAAGCCUACGACGGGUGGCUGGUCUGAGAGGACGAUCAGCCACACUGGAACUGAGACACGGUCCAGACUCCUACGGGAGGCAGCAGUGGGGAAUUUUGCACAAUGGGCGCAAGCCUGAUGCAGCAACGCCGCGUGUGUGAUGAAGGUCUUCGGAUCGUAAAGCACUUUCGACCGGGACGAAACAGCGACACCCAACACGUGUCGCCCUGACGGUACCGGGAGAAGAAGCACCGGCUAACUCUGUGCCAGCAGCCGCGGUAACAC
rnacentral:rRNA from 1 species